rnacentral:rRNA from 1 species
GUCCACCCCGUAAACGUUGGGAACUAGUUGUGGGUCCACUCCACGGAUUCCGUGACGCAGCUAACGCAUUAAGUUCCCGCCUGGGAGUACGGCCGCAAGGCUAAACUCAAAGGAAUUGACGGGGACCCGCACAAGCGGCGGAGCAUGCGGAUUAAUUCGAUGCAACGCGAAGAACCUUACCAAGGCUUGACAUAUACGAGAACGGGCCAGAAAUGGUCAACUCUUUGGACACUCGUAAACAGGUGGUGCAUGGUUGUCGU